ANNGNNGGGNGGCGUGCUAUACAUGCAGUCGAGCGAACGGACGAGAGUGCUUGCACUCUCUGAUGUUAGCGGCGGACGGGUGAGUAACACGUGGGUAACCUACCUAUAAGACUGGGAUAACUUCGGGAAACCGGAGCUAAUACCGGAUAAUAUUUAGCUUCGCAUGAAGCAAUAGUGAAAGACGGUUCUGCUGUCACUUAUAGAUGGACCCGCGGUGUAUUAGCUAGUUGGUGAGGUAACGGCUCACCAAGGCAACGAUACAUAGCCGACCUGAGAGGGUGAUCGGCCACACUGGGACUGAGACACGGCCCAGACUCCUACGGGAGGCAGCAGUAGGGAAUCUUCCGCAAUGGACGAAAGUCUGACGGAGCAACGCCGCGUGAGUGAAGAAGGUUUUCGGAUCGUAAAACUCUGUUGUAAGGGAAGAACAAGUACGUUAGUAACUGAACGUACCUUGACGGUACCUUACCAGAAAGCCACGGCUAACUACGUGCCAGCAGCCGCGGUAAUACGUAGGUGGCAAGCGUUAUCCGGAAUUAUUGGGCGUAAAGCGCGCGUAGGCGGUCUCUUAAGUCUGAUGUGAAAGCCCCCGGCUCAACCGGGGAGGGUCAUUGGAAACUGGGAGACUUGAGUGCAGAAGAGGAGAGUGGAAUUCCAUGUGUAGCGGUGAAAUGCGCAGAGAUAUGGAGGAACACCAGUGGCGAAGGCGGCUCUCUGGUCUGUAACUGACGCUGAGGUGCGAAAGCGUGGGGAUCAAACAGGAUUAGAUACCCUGGUAGUCCACGCCGUAAACGAUGAGUGCUAAGUGUUGGGGGGUUUCCGCCCCUCAGUGCUGCAGCUAACGCAUUAAGCACUCCGCCUGGGGAGUACGGUCGCAAGACUGAAACUCAAAGGAAUUGACGGGACCCGCACAAGCGGUGGAGCAUGUGGUUUAAUUCGAAGCACGCGG
rnacentral:rRNA from 1 species